UGAGCCGUUUAUCAGAACAGUUGCUGCAGUAAGGGUAUUCAGACAUUCUUGACAAAGCAAUGAAACAUUGAGCUGAUUUUGCCAGACAGAAUUGCUAUUAGCCUAUCUUUCGCUAUUAUGGCCUUGAGGGAGACAACACUGCUCACUGUGCAGGUGGCUGUGAUGUUCUGGGUGGUCUGUACGUUUCCAAGCAUUGGCUCUGGCUAUGAGCUCCAGGAUACCAUCCACGCUCUGAAAGAGGAGAAUGUCCACCUUCACCACCGUCUGGAGAAUCUCACCCGCGCUCUCCGCGAACUGAAGCAUCUUCUCUUGGAUCACUCAAGAGACACUGGAGGACAGCAUAAAAGUGAUUCACUGCAUACCUGGAAUGAAUGGACACAACAUGGUAUCAGUCCUGAGACACGUCACACGUUGGAGCAGGCUUUCUGCUGGCCUGAUCUCCACGGAGCUGCAAGUCCUAUCUUCAAAGUACCUGCUCUCUUCCUUUUUACUCCAAUCAUUGUCUGGCUGAGCCCUCUGCUUUUCUGACUUCUGAACUCGAGAAUACAGAAAUCACUAUUGUUUAAGCCUGGUCCCAGAUCUGUUUGUGCUGUCUCACCAACUCGGCCAACUCCUAUGGUCCUUUUCACACGCAUGACAAUGACCAAAGGAGUAUGCAAGACAGCACAAACAGAUCUGGGACCAGGCUAACAUUGUGUCUUCUAAAAUGAUAGCUAGGCAUAAUUGCAUGUCCUGUGCAUCACAAUUCUUGCACCUGACCUGUAGCCUGUUUCUUUUGAAUGUCAUGCUUUUAACAAGGAUCUGUUCCAUAUUACAGUUUAUUGUGAUUUUCAGUACAAACACUGAAUUUAACUGUGGCUGUAAAACUUAACAUUACAAUAAUAAUAGCAACAACUGAAGACCUUCAUCCCUUGGUACUUAAAAAAACCCAUUAAAAACCUGUCAAAUCAAAACAUCUAGCUAGUUUGCAGAUCUGGCCCCGAGAGACACGGCAGUGAGUAGGUAUACUUUGAAUUAAUUUAUUGUUAGACAUAUUUGAAUAAAAAGUCAUUUAAAGCUGAUGGUUUGUGUACCAAUCAAUAUAUGUAUGUAGUAAUAGUACUGCACGUUUUUGUAGGGUAAGUUAUUGCUCAGUAGUGUCUGCCUGCUGGUCCACAUGGCUUGAUUAGAGAGCCGAGAGCUGAGGGUUUGAAUGACACCACUCGACACACCCACACCCUGUCAAUGUCGAGGAAAGUCCC